AUUGAACGCUGGCGGCAGGCCUAACACAUGCAAGUCGAACGAGUGGCGGAUGGGUGAGUAAUGUCUGGGAAACUGCCCGAUGGAGGGGGAUAACUACUGGAAACGGUAGCUAAUACCGCAUACCAUCGGAUGUGCCCAGAUGGGAUUAGCUAGUAGGUGGGGUAACGGCUAUCUUAGGCGACGCUCCCUAGCUGGUCUGAGAGGAUGACCAGCAAACCUGGAACUGAGAAACGGUCCAGACUCUAACGGGAGGCAGAAGUGGGGAAUAUUGCACAAUGGGCGCAAGCCUGAUGCAGCCAGGCCGCGUGGAUGAAGAAGGCCUUCGGGUUGUAAAGUACGUUCAGCGAGGAGGCGUUACUCGCAGAAGAAGCACCGGCUAACUCCGUGCCAGCAGCCGCGGUAAUAC
rnacentral:rRNA from 1 species